GCAAUGUGGAAUCAGGUGUUGAGGAAAGAGCUGGCUUCUGGUUUGUGUCUGUCAGAAAGGAAUCCUGCAAAAAAUGCAGAACGCAGAUCCAGCAGGACAUAGGUCAGGAAGGCGAUGGAGGUGCCGGCGAGCAGCACCCCGAGCACGAUGGGAACCACGAGGUCCGGGGAUGGCGGGGCAGGCUCCCUGAUGGCAGUGACGACAUAUGCUAAAAACACAUCCUCCAGCCCCUGCUCAAUGUCACCCUUCUGCUCCCUCAGCUUUCUGAGGAUAGAAGGGGAAAACGUGCAUCAUUUACCUGACCUUCAUUUUGGCUGCAGGAGUAGUGAGGAAAAUCUAGAAUAUCCCUCCCUGGUCAGACAAGACCUUUUCCCAGGAUUCAGACUUGUUGUGUUUUUCAUCCAGGAAAAGCUUUGUUUUCCAGCAACCAGCCCUGGUGCUUGUGACCUGAAAUACUGCAGAGCUUGGACAGAUGAACCAGAUCCACAUCUCUGACAGUUACCAAAGAAAUGUAAAAUUCACCUCAAGUCUGAGUUUUUAAUCAAUAUUCUGUCACUCUGAGAGAUUUGGUGCUGGAUUGGAUCAGUGGCCCAGUUAAUCCAUCAUUCUGGUAGCAGUCAGCACCAGCUGCUUCCAAGAAUGUUUUCCAUUUAAUUUUUACCAACAAAACCUGGUCCAUAACAGCAUUAACAUCACAAACUCAUUUUUCCCAUUUUCAGAGUGAUUUCCCUUCAUAAGGACUCAAUCUUUCCAAUGUAAAUAUAUGUUUAUGUGCAGCCAAAUAAAAGAUCUUCCAUCUUUGUUAACAUGCCAAAAUGGCCCAAUUAUGGUUUCAAUUGCAGGGUGGCCAUCACACAUCACUGGCUAAUUCCCUGUUCCUGCAGGGCUGGGGUGUCCUGGAGAAGCUCUGCUGCUGUGCCAUGAAGGGAGUUUUCACCUCUUGGUGAAAAUGGUGGGUUUGGUUUGUUGUGCCUGCCCUAUGUCUCCACAUUUUUAUCCUGAUAUCCAUGAAAACCUUUAUCCUAGGUUGUUAAAAUGACACAGACAUUGAGGUGGGAAGAGAUCACUUGAAAUUGUCUAGUCCAAUAACCUCUUUGAGAUUUAUCACCUUCAGGCCAAAAACUUACAAGGCAAAAAUUGGUGGAUUCCUGUGAAUUUGCUGAAAAUAUUCUGAGCUAUGUCAAACUGAAGGCCUGGCUUUUUUCCUGGGCACUGGCUGUAUCAGCUCCCUGUAGGCUGUCAGACCCCUAUCCCAAAGGGACUCUGAAUUUAUCAUUAGAUACUAUACCAGAAUAAGCUUCACAGUUUCA